GACGAACGCUGGCGGCGUGCUUAACACAUGCAAGUCGAACGGAAAGGCCCUGCUUUUGUGGGGUGCUCGAGUGGCGAACGGGUGAGUAACACGUGAGUAACCUGCCCUUGACUUUGGGAUAACUUCAGGAAACUGGGGCUAAUACCGGAUAGGACCUCCUGCUGCAUGGUGGGGGUUGGAAAGUUUCGGCGGUUGGGGAUGGACUCGCGGCUUAUCAGCUUGUUGGUGGGGUAGUGGCUUACCAAGGCUUUGACGGGUAGCCGGCCUGAGAGGGUGACCGGCCACAUUGGGACUGAGAUACGGCCCAGACUCCUACGGGAGGCAGCAGUGGGGAAUAUUGCACAAUGGGCGGAAGCCUGAUGCAGCAACGCCGCGUGCGGGAUGACGGCCUUCGGGUUGUAAACCGCUUUCGCCUGUGACGAAGCGUGAGUGACGGUAAUGGGUAAAGAAGCACCGGCUAACUACGUG
rnacentral:rRNA from 1 species